UUUUUUUUUUUUUGCUAAAUAAUUUCCAGGAACUUCUAUCGACGUUCUGAUUUUCGUUACGUCUCAGCCUUCCAAUAAUCCGCUCUUAACUCUAAGUUUUUGCGUGAUUGAUCCACUCCUCUCACUGGAAGCAUUCAAUCGACCUCUUCCCAUCCUACAGUAACCGGCUGAAUCUUCAAGUAUAAAUAUCGGACCUUCCAAUGAUGAACAGAGCAACUCAAACAAGAUCCACAAACAUAUUUUAUUCUCGCGACCAUGGCGAUCAGCUUUCAGCCGGACGGGUUCAUCGCAGCCGGUGGUCACGCUUCUCCUUCGUUUCACGGAGGCACCUAAUCUAUACUAGAAAGAAGGGAGCAAAUGGGUUAACAUCCUCCUCAAUGAUGAAAAGAAAAAAGUGAUGAAGUCAGAGCGUGCUGGCAAAUUGAUGACAGAGGCGCUACUUCUGCAGUUUUUGGCUCUUGGUAGACAGUGACUUUAGGCUGCUCAAGCUCAGGAAAGGUCAAUGACAAAGUUGAGAUUCACAUAUUUGGUUGAGAAUCACAGUGAAGAGCUCACAGCUAUAUAGACAUGGGACAAUGGGAAGACUUAUGAAUAAGCCAAAACAGCAGAGAUUCCAGUGCUUGCCAAAUUGUUUCGCUACUAUGCUGGAUGCGGAUAAGAUUGAUGGACUAAUUAACAGUUCCAGUUGAUGGAAACUAUCAUGGCCAGACACUGCAUGAACUGAAAGGUGUUGCUGGACAGAUCAUUCUCCUCACCAUUGUCCUCAAAACCGAUGAACAAACUCCCCUCACUGCUUUUUACGGAAAGCUUUUCCUUGAAGCAGGUCUCCUCUUGGUGUUCUGAACAUAGUUUCUGGAUUUGGUCUAAUCGCAAGGACUUUCCUCACGAGCCACGUGGAUUGGGCUGUUACCAAAUUUUCUAAGUUAAUAUUAUUGAUACUCGACUCAUUACUGAAGUUGAGAGAGCUUUACGCUCAAUUACGUCGACAAGUAAUUGAGGAGAUAUGAAAGUUCCUAGAAUCUACAGAAAAUGGAGACCCACCUCACACGUGGUUUUAGAAACCAGCUGGUCAUGAUGCUUCAGGUAAAUUUUGUUUACUCCUCUGUAUCCUCUGUAUCUCUAUAACGAUCCAGACUCAUCUAGCAGAAGCCAAGAUCUCAGUCUUAGAGUUCAUGGUUCACCAAGAGUUUUCAUGCAUCUGGAUUUCCACGUUUUGGGUCUCCCACCAGCCAGUUUUGAUCGAUACUCCUGCAGUGUCCAAGUUUGGAAGAUUGGAAAGCACAUAAAAUCCAAAAAAAUAGAGGUAAAGGAAAGCUGGUGCUUUUUGCAAGUCAUGGUGGAACUCCAUCCAUGACGUUCACCCACAUGGCUGAUCCUUCUACUCACUGACAACAUCAACAAAAAAUCAUUGUGUCACACGCUCUUGGUUCGUUUUGUUCGUUAUACCUUUAGUUAAUAUGAUUGUUUACAGGGACCUCAGACGGUGGAUCAAGAGCUUCAGAAGAUACAAUAGGAUAUACAUGAGUACAAGAAACAGGUGGUUAUAGCGUAAGAAGCAAAACGUCAGGUUGUGGUAUGUAACGGUUAAAACAGAGGAGUGUCAUUGCAGAGCUAAAACAAGCGAAACAAGACUCUCAUCUUGCGAAGCUGAGAGUGGAGGAAAUGAAAAAAAGGAUGAUAUCAUUUGAAAAUGGAAUAUUUAUUUAGGCUAAUGCAAUCAGAGAGAAUAAAUGACUUUGAAGGAUUAUGACACAUAAAUAACUUUGAAGGGUGCUUUCCAAUUUAUGUUAAUUAAAUUUUUGUAAAGUAUUUAUAGAUCUUUAUAAGAUGUUAUGGACUCU